rnacentral:rRNA from 1 species
GAGGAAUAUUGGUCAAUGGACGAAAGUCUGAACCAGCCAAGUAGCGUGCAGGAUGACGGCCCUAUGGGUUGUAAACUGCUUUUGUAUGGGGAUAAAGUCAAUCACGUGUCCCUGUUUGCAGGUACCAUACGAAUAAGGACCGGCUAAUUCCGUGCCAGCAGCCGCGGUAAUACGGAAGGUCCAGGCGUUAUCCGGAUUUAUUGGGUUUAAAGGGAGCGUAGGCUGGAGAUUAAGUGUGUUGUGAAAUGUAGACGCUCAACGUCUGAAUUGCAGCGCAUACUGGUUUCCUUGAGUACGCACAACGUUGGCGGAAUUCGUCGUGUAGCGGUGAAAUGCUUAGAUAUGACGAAGAACUCCGAUUGCGAAGGCAGCUGACGGGAGCGCAACUGACGCUUAAGCUCGAAGGUGCGGGUAUCAAACAGGAUUAGAUACCCUGGUAGUCCGCACAGUAAACGAUGGAUGCCCGCUGUUGGUACCUGGUAUCAGCGGCUAAGCGAAAGCAUUAAGCAUCCCACCUGGGGAGUACGCCGGCAACGGUG